UAAAUAUACGACGUUAGUACGUGGGAAAACUCAAAUUUAAGAAUUAUUGUUCGAACGAAAUUUAAUAAACUGCUGGUACUUACUCAUAUAUUCUAUGCUUUUAUAGUCAUAUUUUCGAAUUUUGCUCAAGUCAAGCUCGACCACAAGUUUUAUGCGUUUAUUGACCGAGUAUAAUGCAUGUUAUAUUUCUGAAUCGUUUUACAUUUGAACUUCGCAUAGAGUGCAAGUUUUAAAACAUGUAUCGCCAAAUGUUAUUUUUUUUUAUAUAAAACUCUAUAUAUGAAUUUUUAUUAUUAUUAUUAUUUAUAUUUUACACAUGACAAUGUGAGGCAUUUAUCAAUUUAAUGUAAUAAUUUUAUGUUUAUGAUUUGUAGUCUUGUUGCGUAUCUUUAAUUGCCAACCAUCAGUGAGAGAAGAUUGUUCCUCUAAGCUUCCCAACAUGAACCCCUAUUUGUUUAUUCAAAGUCAUAUGGAUCCCAAAAUGUUUAUUGGAAAUACACAAGUUAAAUCACAUGAUGUCUUAAUAGAACUAUUCAUUUUUAGUGUAAUCAGUAGUAUUAAUAUAUUCAAAUGGACUGGCGGAAAGCUAUGCCUGUGGUCCUUGCUUAUCGAGUUUACGCUUUUCAUUUUGUUUGGUUCUGGUACUAAUUUGCAUAUUCAUUUUGAUUCAAAGUUUGAAUGUUUAAAGAUCAAAGCACUUCAAUUAAUGUAGCCAAGAUAGGUUUAUUCAAAUAUUUUUCGUUUCAUUUCAGAACUCUUAGUCACCUCACAUAGAUUGGGGCAGUUUUGUCACCCUACUGCCCGCUGGUUUCCUAGUACUCGGAGAAAAAAAGUGUUGUAAAAUAAAUUCAAGUUUUAAUUUUCUAACAAAAAUUAUCGAUAAAAAACUAACAGAAGUUACAUUGAGAACCUUGUGUCUGCUUGUUAUCCGCAAGCAUCGAGAUCCAAUUGACCCCUAAUCCAACUUUCGGUGAUCUUUCGUUAUUUUGUUUAUCCAACAACUUAUGAAAAAUGAAACAACUUUAAAAACUUGUACUGAUUUAUAAUUAUCUCUUUAUCUUUAAAUUCCGUGCAAUUUUGCUGUAGGGUAGUUCUCUAGGCCCUGCUCUAAGUUGUUAAUCAUAACUAUGUAACUUGUGUUUUUUUUUUGUCGACCUUGUUCACUUCAAUAACAUUAAUGUAAUAAUAUUGAAUUUAAUGACAUUUCAGUAUUGAUCGUGUAUUAAUACAUUAUUUUUCACUGAUGAUUAAACAACAUAUUAUAUUUAUUGUAAUUUUUUAUUUUUAGAGUAUUUUACAUUUGGUAUUGUGUUUUACAAACUUAAAUUUUUUAAUUUUUUAGAAACAUGUAAUUACUUAGUUUUAUCAAUAUCAGGCGUAAAUCAUAAUAAUUAGUUACGUACGUUUGAGUGCUUAACAUAAUAUUAUCUUAUUCUUUAAUACUUAUUGGUAUUGCAAUCCUUCCUGUGGCCCAGUGUUUUCCAAAUUUGUUUGCCCGUCGUCCCAAAAUCCUCACCCGAAUGUAAGAUAUUUGUAACUAAUGCUUGUUCGAACCUAUAUUUUAGAUUUAAUUUUAAUUCAAACCGUAUUGCUACUGCCAAUUUUAGACGUAGUUCUUCAAUUAAGAUAUGGGCUGUCCAUCUUCAAAGUGUUUGCGAGAAGAUGAAAAUGAUGUCGAGGAAGUGAUUGAGGUGAGUAAGAUGGUGGAUGAUGAUUUGAAAGAGUUGGUAGAGGAAAAGAUUCAAGAUCACGACAUUGCGAUUGAUAUGGAGAAGAUAAAGGAAAUGAUUGAAAAGGUGAAGAUAGAUGUAUUAGAAGACGAAGACAACAACUCGGAACAGGAUACAAAAGAAAUGCUAAAAAUGCACUGCAGAGAAUCUAACGAAUUUAUGCAAACAUAAUACGUUUCACUAUUUUCUAUGUGUUAUGACGACGAAGACGCAAAGAAGAUUGGAAUCAGUUGGUCAGAUGUGAUUCAGCAACAGUCGUGGAAAAUCAACGCAGGACGUUUGUUUACUGAAACAUCUGUUUUUGAUUCAGAAGAGUUCACGCCCACAAUUCACGAUCUAUUAUGAGAAGAACAUUUUGAAUGGAAAUAUAUUUUACGUGGAGAAAGAGAAGAGAAUCGAUGCAAUAAGAAGAAGGACCAUACACGAGUGAAGAGGGCGAGGGCGAAUUCAACAAUAUCAACGAAGAUCUUACAUCGACGAUGACUUGAGCAACGAAUAUUACUUUCAAAUUUUAGUUAUCAACAAUGUUUUAUUCAUUUUUAUUGAUCUGUACCAGAGGUAAAAAUAAAACAAAUGAAAAGUUUUAAAAAAAGCGAAAUUCGAUAUAUUAUUAAUGUAGUUGUUUGCGACUAACAAGAUGUUGAAUAAGAGGUUUUGUGGUGAAUAGUGCACAUCGUAAAUCACCAAGGAGAAUACAGAUACAAUCACAACAGCUCUAUGCAAUCUCUGACGUCUGAACAAUAAAGAAUUAAAUUUUAACCCGAUGUUCUGGAAAUUUAACGCUACAUUCAUAGGAUGAAAGCUAGUUUAAACGUAAAUAGUCUUUUUGUAUCAGAAAACUUCACUUAUAAACUGGUUUUAGACUGGUCAAAAAUUUAGUAUUGGACAAAUAGGUUAUCUAUCAGGGAAGACAAACCCAUAUAUUAUAUCGUUUUAGGAACAUUUAGAAUGCUCUUUCACCCACAUCUUUUAUUGUGUUCAAUUACAAGUUCUAUCAAUUAUUCCAAUUACUGUCUGUUUGUAAAGUGGUUUUUCAAAUAA